UACACAGUACAUCCUCUUUCUCAACGCGUUCUUAGUGUAAGCAGUGUGGUUUGGCAUCACCAUUUUGGUCGACAAUGUUAGAAGAAUGAGCCACCUCAAUUUGAUGUGAUUCCCUGCUGUCAACACACUCCUUGAAAUGGGCUGAAUGAAAGCGUAUAACAUCUAUAAGAUGGUGCUCUUCCUACAAAAAGAUGGCCUCUAUCACCAGAAGUGAGCCAACUGGUAUGAUUUGAAUUGUGUGCAUUGGCAUGGGUUCCAAUAAUCUGUGCUCUCCCAAGUGCACGGGAUUCACAACUACAUGCUAAAUUAACAGGAAGACUUCGACUGCCCUGUUUAGCGGUGUUUGUGGCGGUCUCAAUGUGUCCUAUAAAUGGUCUCGUUAAAGGCCAUGGUCACUUCUGAUUACCUGUGGGGUUGCAGGAGCCCAGUGCCCACCUGCUCCCUGAUGGAGGUAAGACUGCUGUUUUGGACUUGGUGUGGAUUAUGCGAGUGAAGACUCACCCAUAAAUGCUGAACGUUAUUCAACCUGAGUUUUGCUGUGGAUUUCAGUUUGUGUAUCUGUAAUUGUUCUUUGGUUAAGCAAAUAAAAGCUUGCUGCUUAUUCAUCUGAAGUGUAGCACUUAAUUUGUCUCAAUAAGAAUGGUACAGAACAUCUCAAAUACUUUUAUUUACAUACUAAGUUAACCAUAUCCUUGAUGUAGGAAUUUGAUACAUUGGAAUGUCAAUUUGUAACUACAAUUUGACCAAAAAAAAAACAUACUGGGGUUUUCAAUCUGACCAAUACAUUUCCACAUACAUCUGGAUCUAGAUUAGUUGUGAACCUGCUUGCUCAACCUUUCCCAUGACUAAACUAACUUCUAGACAAAUUAUGGCUGGUAAAAAUAGGGGAAAUUGUAGAAAAACAGCACUCUCCCACCCCAAUCAGUUGACCAACAUGUCUUAAUCUUCCAAGUAGUUGGCAUUGCAGUUGUUGUUUUUUUUU